AACCCAACAGCUAGCCCACCUUCUAAACACAAAGCACAACUAUAAAUACACCCGAAUAUACUACAUUAUAAAAACAAACCAUUUUACCCCCCUAGUACGGGCGACCGAACAGGGGCUCUGGAGCUAUAGAGAAAGUACCGCAAGGGAACGCUGAAAGAGAAAUGAAACAAACCAGUGAAGUAAAAAGAAGCAGAGCUCCUCCCUCGUACCUUUUGCAUCAUGAUUUAGCAAGAUGAACCAAGCAAAGAGACCUUUAGUUUGGCCACCCGAAACUAGGUGAGCUACUCCAAGACAGCCUGAUAGCAGGGCCAACCCGUCUCUGUGGCAAAAGAGUGGGAAGAGCUUCGAGUAGAGGUGACAGACCUACCGAACCUAGUAAUAGCUGGUUGCCCGGGAAGUGAAUAGCAGUUCAGCCCCCAGACUUCUAUAGUUUCAACUGGCAAAAGCCUCCGCCUGAACAAUUAGAUAAUCCGGGGAGUUAGUCAAAUGGGGUACAGCCCUUUUGACUCAGGAUACAACCUCACUAGGAGGGUAAGGACCAUAAUCAACCUAAGGCACCGUGUUUAGGUGGGCCUAAAAGCAGCCAACCCCGUAGAAAGCGUUAAAGCUCAGACACACCCACUGCCCCUAAUUCUGGUAAUUUUGUCCCAGCCCCCUACCCCUUACCAGGCCACCCCAUACCCCUAUGGGGGAGACCAUGCUAAUAUGAGUAAUAAGGGGGCCUCACGGCCCCCUCCUUGCACAAGUGUAACUCGAAACGGACCCGCCAUCGAACAUUAACGGCCCCAACCACAGAGGGUAGUGGAGCGCAACCAGACAACCAGAAGAGCCUCCAAGAAUAACCGUUAACCCCACACUGGUGUGCCCCCGGAAAGACUAAUAGAGGGAGAAGGAACUCGGCAAAUAUUGACUAAGCCUCGCCUGUUUACCAAAAACAUCGCCUCUUGAUUAAUCAUAAUAAGAGGUCCCGCCUGCCCUGUGACUUAAGGUUUAACGGCCGCGGUAUUUUGACCGUGCAAAGGUAGCGCAAUCACUUGUCUUUUAAAUGGAGACCUGUAUGAAUGGCACGACGAGGGCUUAACUGUCUCCUUCCUCCAGUCAAUGAAAUUGAUCUCCCCGUGCAGAAGCGGGGAUACCCCCAUAAGACGAGAAGACCCUGUGGAGCUUUAGACUUACGGCAGGACCAUGUCAAGCACCCCUGGCUAACGGCCUAAACUAAUUGGCUCCCUCCUACAUGUCUUUGGUUGGGGCGACCGCGGGGAAAUAAAAAACCCCCAUGUGGAAUGGGAGCACCUCUACUCCUACAACCAAGAGCCACAGCUCUAGGUAACAGAAUUUCUGACCAGUCAGAUCCGGCAUAGCCGAUCAACGGACCGAGUUACCCCAGGGAUAACAGCGCAAUCCUCUUCUAGAGCCCAUAUCGACAAGGGGGUUUACGACCUCGAUGUUGGAUCAGGACAUCCUAAUGGUGCAGCCGCUAUUAAGGGUUCGUUUGUUCAACGAUUAAAGUCCUACGUGAUCUGAGUUCAGACCGGAGUAAUCCAGGUCAGUUUCUAUCUAUGAGAUGAUCCCUUCUAGUACGAAAGGACCGAAGAGAAGAGGCCCAUGCUGCAGGUACGCCUCCCCCUCACCUGCUGAAUACAACUCAAGCAGGUAAGAGGGCAUAACCCUCUGCCUGAGAUAAUGGCAU
rnacentral:rRNA from 1 species